ensembl:rRNA 5S_rRNA 5S ribosomal RNA
GCCAGCAGCCAUAUCACCCUGCAGCUCUCAAGUGGCUACCCACUGAAGCUAAGCAGGGUUGAGCGUGGUCAGUACCUGGAUGGGAGACCUCCUGGGAAGCUAUGGCUGCUGCUGGAA